AUGUGUUUGCAAUUGUCAGCAAAAUUAUCCUGUAUCUGUCAUACAAAUUGAAUGUCAAGUUUAAUUGUAUCUUACAUUUCGGGGUGAAAUACCUUAUGACUAUAAAAGAAGACAUUUUAUGGAGGUAUUUUUAACAUUUUCUUUUUGUAGGUCAUGCUGAAACACAAACACAAGGAGAUACAAUCAGCAGGAAUAUUGAAAGAGAAAAGAGGUCAUCUGGAUCAUUUUCUACAGAUAUAUAUCGACGGCGUUAAUGUGCGUACGUCCAUUCUUUGACUUGUAUGGAUAAAACAUUUGCAACUGAGGAGGAAUUGGCAAUACAAUAUAGUGAUACUGAACUUAUGCAGACAGCUACUGAGAGGUUUUUAAGUGGCUUCUAGAAAAAAUGUUAAUAAUCACAUACUGUUUUAUUAUAUUUUACAAGAAAUAACUGUUCAUAUAUGCUUAUAUUAUAUCUAUUCUUUUGCGUUCUCUUUCUCAGUUUUGAUCCAAAACAAUUGUAGCUUUUGUUCAUGUUUCACAUAUGUGAAACUCCUCAUAUUCGUAUGUUUGAAUAUUGAAUUAUUAUUACGGCAUGGUCAAUGGAAAACGUAUUUGUUUGUUAUUUUUGCGGAAUGAUCAUGAUUUUCUGUUUCAAGUUAUUUUGUUGCACGAUAUUUUUGUGAAGUCUAUGAUUUUGAUAGAAUGUUUAAUCUUUGUUCAUCAGAAACAUUGCAUGUACACAACAGAGCUGCUAUUGAUGCUGAAGUUGUGCGUCUUCAAUAAAUAUAUAUAUUCCAUUGCAGACUGUGAGAGCACCAAAGCGUAAAAUAGAAAUACCUUUUAACAGCUUUUUUCAUGAACCACUAGGUGGAUCUUCCCAAUACUUGGUCUGCAACAUCCUUGGAUAGUCCUUUCUUACAUUUGUUCAUAUGGUCCUGAGUGACGGACCAUUAGGCCAAACAAUUAAGAACAGGUUAGCGAAUUAAGACAUUUAAUGCCCACUUGUUGUACCUGCUGUUUGUUGAAAAUGAUAAGUACCUUCGUAUAGCGUUCGAGACUUCAUUGUUGAAUAAACCCGUCCAUCUGUGAUAUUUAGAGAGAUCGGUGACAUUUCUAUGCACAUAUUAAUUUACAUGCACUUGGUUUUAUGAGGUGAUGACCCAAUUCAAUCUCUUACUCGAAAGACCAAGGCCACACAAGGUCAAGUUUUUGUGAUUUUGUUGUUUUCUCAAUAUUUAUUUAAUCAUGGAUAUAUAUUUAAAUACUUCGUAUCAGUCUGACAAUGUGUCUCUUGCAAGACUCCUGUGCAAUAGCUCAUGAUCAAACAUGAGAGCUCAAAAAAUAUAUUGCUUGGAUUUUAAAUCCUACCUAUAAAACACCUUUUAAAUAGCUUUUCUUGGUGUCGCAAUGACCAACAUAGGUAUGGUUUGAUCAGUUUCAAAAUAUGGUGAUAUUUUCUUGUUUAGUUUGCUAUUUUACAGUAAUGAACACACUGUAAGAAAUAUUUUAUGUUAUGAAACGUCUUUUUACAGAUUAUUUAUGUAGGGACGUAAUAUUUAGCUUUAUGAUGUUCGCUUAUUUGCUGCAAUUUAAGCAUCAUUCAAGCCUUAAUUCAGUAGAUUAAACGUAUGAUUUAUUACACCUGAAAUCAUACCAAGUUGUAUGCUCGUAUGUGUAUGAAACAGUACAGAAACGUUCUGCAUUUUGACAGUUUUGAUUAAAAUUUAUCAAGAGAUUUGAGUAGCAUUCACACAGUAAUGAUGCGGACACUUUUUUGUGACACCAGACUG